UACGUAGGGGGCAAGCGUUGUCCGGAAUCAUUGGGCGUAAAGAGCGCGUAGGCGGCCCUGUAAGUCCGCUGUGAAAGUCAAGGGCUCAACCCUUGGAUGCCGGUGGAUACUGCAGGGCUAGAGUCCGGAAGAGGCGAGUGGAAUUCCUGGUGUAGCGGUGAAAUGCGCAGAUAUCAGGAAGAACACCAAUGGCGAAAGCAGCUCUCUGGGACGGUACUGACGCUGAGACGCGAAAGCGUGGGGAGCGAACAGG
rnacentral:rRNA from 1 species